rnacentral:lncRNA from 1 species
UUGUUUUGUCUGUACUAUGUUAAUCUAACACUCGGGUGGAUUGCUUUAAUCUUGCACGAUUGCUUGCCUAGGAUUUUGAUAGAAAAAGACAGGCUUUCUUAUCUCAUGGACGCUGUCCAAAUUGCCAACGAACAAAAUGUGCCGACUAAGCUGUUGGGUACCAUCCUCAUCAUCUAUCCUGCUAAUAUUUAUCCACGUCUCCCUAGACACAUAAUUUGAUGAAUUGAACCGGCUU